rnacentral:rRNA from 1 species
UCGCUACUACCGAUUGAAUGGCUUAGUGAGGUUCAGGGAUUGACGACUGGUACCUGGCAACAGGGCCUUAGUCGAGAACUGAAUCAAACUUGAUCAUUUAGAGGAAGUAA